CUUCACCUUGACACCGUUUAGAUGAAGCCGAUAUCGAAAGAAAAGCCGGCGAGCGAAUGCGCUUGGAAGGAAUCGACGGGAGAGAAAGCAUUUGAAGAAGACGAUCCAACAUCGCCGUUUCAAUCGCCGGUGACCUCUUUGUGAAUAGGAUUAUUUUAUCGAGAUAACAAUGGAAUUUCUCCGUGUUUCGGUUGGUUGCACAUGAUCAUUAGAUGUUGACAUGAUGCAUAAACCGGUUUUGAGCACAGUGCUUAGUUGUAAUUUCCCCAUCUCCACACCCUUGUAAUUCGAUUGCCUUUAAGCAUCGCCGUCCACCUCACAUAGCUUACUCUUAGGCUUUCUUACAAUGAGAUGAUUCUCUUACACCUACACUCAUACAUUGCAUUGCUUGUUGUUUGGGCCCGAUUUAAUUAUUUCAUUACUUUGAAUCCCCAUUUGACAAAAUGUACCCCCACUCCCAUGAUGUGUAAUAAUUCUUUACUAUUUUAUUUCUUUA